rnacentral:tmRNA from 1 species
GGGGGCGCAUUUGGUUUCGACGUGGAUGACGAAGCUUGAUGGUGCAUGCCGAGAUUGAUACUACUCGUAAAAAUAGUUUCAAAAAAAUAGUCGCAAAUG